rnacentral:rRNA from 1 species
AUACGGAGGGUCCGAGCGUUAAUCGGAAUUACUGGGCGUAAAGCGCGCGUAGGUGGUUCAGUCAGUCAGAUGUGAAAGCCCCGGGCUCAACCUGGGAACUGCACCUGAUACUGCUGAGCUAGAGUACGGUAGAGGGCAGUGGAAUUUCCGGUGUAGCGGUGAAAUGCGUAGAGAUCGGAAGGAACACCAGUGGCGAAGGCGACUGCCUGGACUGAUACUGACACGGAGGUGCGAAAGCGUGGGUAGCAAACAGGAUUAGAUACCCUGGUAGUCCACGCCGUAAACGAUGUCAACUAGCCGUUGGGGGACUUGAUCCUUUAGUGGCGAAGCUAACGCGAUAAGUUGACCGCCUGGGGAGUACGGCCGCAAGGUUAAAACUCAAAGGAAUUGGCGGGG